rnacentral:rRNA from 1 species
GACGAACGCUGGCGGCGUGCUUAACACAUGCAAGUCGAACGAAGUGGCGAACGGGUGAGUAACGCGUAAUCAACCUGCCCUUCAGAGGGGGACAACAGUUGGAAACGACUGCUAAUACCGCAUACUGAAGGAGGGGAUUGCGUCGGAUGAGCGAGUGGGAGGGGUAACGGCCCACCAAGGCGAUGAUCAGUAGGCUGGCUGAGAGGAUGGACGAGCACAAUGGGACUUGGACACGGCCCAGACUCCUACGGGAGGGAGCAGUUGGGGAACUUCCGAAAUGGACGAAAGUCUGACGGAGCAACGCCGCGGGAGUGAUGGCGGCCUUCGGGUUGGAAAGGUCUGUUAAUCGGGACGCGGUACCGGAAUAGAAAGCCACGGCUAACUACGUGCCAGCAGCCGCGGUAAUAC